rnacentral:rRNA from 1 species
AGUGAGGAAUAUUGGACAAUGGGGGAAACCCUGAUCCAGCCAUGCCGCGUGAGUGAUGAAGGCCUUCGGGUUGUAAAGCUCUUUCAGAUGCGACGAUAAUGACGGUAACAUCAGAAGAAGCCCCGGCUAAAUUCGUGCCAGCAGCCGCGGUAAUACGAAUGGGGCAAGCGUUGUUCGGAAUCACUGGGCUUAAAGCGUGCGCAGGCGGCCAAGCAAGUCAGAAGUGAAAUCCCCGGGCUUAACCCGGGAAUUGCUUUUGAAACUGCAUGGCUAGAAUAUGGGAGAGGUUAGCAGAAUUCCGAGUGUAGAGGUGAAAUUCGCAGAUAUUCGGAGGAAUACCAGUGGCGAAGGCGGCUAACUGGACCAUUAUUGACGCUCAGGCACGAAAGCGUGGGGAUCAAA